AUUGAACGCUGGCGGCAGGCCUAACACAUGCAAGUCGAGCGGAGCGGCGGACGGGGGCGUAAUGCCUAGGAAUCUGCCUGGUAGUGGUGGAUAACGUCCGGAAACGGGCGCUAAUACCGCAUACUAUCAGAUGAGCCUAGGUCGGAUUAGCUAGUUGGUGGGGUAAAGGCCUACCAAGGCGACGAUCCGUACCUGGUCUGAGAGGAUGAUCAGCCACACUGGAACUGAGACACGGUCCAGACUCCUACGGGAGGCAGCAGUGGGGAAUAUUGGACAAUGGGCGAAAGCCUGAUGCAGCCAGGCCGCGUGUGUGAAGAAGGUCUUCGGAUUGUAAAGCACUUUAAGUUGGGAGGCGUUACCGACAGAAUAAGCACCGGCUAACUACGUGCCAGCAGCCGCGGUAAUUC
rnacentral:rRNA from 1 species